UUACAAGAAAAUACAGUUCCUAAAUUACAGUAAGAAAAUGCAAUGAAAAGAAGCCCAGAGAUCUUCAUUUCGUGGUAAUCUAGAAUUGGCUUUCUUGGAUAUAUUUUGUUUCAGGGUCUGUGACGGACUAUAUGUACCAGAGAGAAAAAGACACGUCAGUAUACCUUCAACUUUAAACAACUCGGUUGUAGCCGGCGAGCGGGCGAAAGACCACGUGCAACAUGCAGACAAUUGAAGUCCUGGCAUCCGAUGGGAAAACCGUGCGUUAAGGUGAUUGAAGUUUCCCUGGCUGAACAGCUGAAUUGUCCAUGUGUUAACCCAGGUUAAGAUUCGUUGUUGCAGUCGACAUAGGAUUGCCCUGUUCCAUUAACUCGUUUGCCAUUGGUUGACUUGCCAGCUCUGUCCACACUAGAAUCAACCCAUGCUCGUUAGAGUCGACUUACGAUUGGUCAGACUCGCUGACUCAGUUGGCCACAAGAAAUGGAAGGACGUUUACGUCAAGCCCAGAAUCAGCCAUUGACGUUAUCUGAAU